rnacentral:rRNA from 1 species
AGGGUGUAAACGCUGCAGACUUGGUGUUGGAAGUCCUUUGGGGGCAUUCAGUGCCGGAGAGAAGUUGUUAAGUCUGCUACUUGGGGAGUACGUCCGCAAGGAUGAAACUUAAAGGAAUUGGCGGGGGAGCACCGCAACGGGAGGAGCGUGCGGUUUAAUUGGAUUCAACACCGUAAACUCACCAGGGAAGACUGUUACAUGAAAGCCGAGAUGAAGGCUCUGCUAGAUUUUCAGAGAGGAGGUGCAUGGCGUCAGUGACU